rnacentral:lncRNA from 1 species
AUCGACGUAACACUUGAGCACAGCGAAGAGAAAAGUCGGCAGACAUUCUUAAUCUCCAAGCUCAGGACUUCAGCAAGUAAAACUCACGCCUCUCACACCAGUGUAAGUGAAAACCACAACUGCGGAGUUUAUUAAAUCUUUCAGCUUUUCACUCCUGCAAUCGUAUCUCAGCAGCUUCACCUUUGUCCUUUUUAUCGAGUUGAGAAUUUAGCUCCUUCCAAAAUCACUGGAGAACCACUUUUCUUUUUCCUAGAAUUUUUAUUGUUAGAUGUUUUUGGUAAUAAUACAAGAUUUAACUAUUUAACAGUGCUGGCUUCUGGACAAUGAAUGAGAGAGCUGGCAAUGCAGGAGGAGGAUUCUGUUUCUGCUGCUGAUGCUGCUUAGGACAUGUGGGUUCUACCGUUCUACUAUGGCCACAGUUGCAGCAGAAAGAGAGAAAAAAAAAGGUCUACUUUUUUUUAACUCUGUUUGAAUCAUCCUCUCUGGUUAUUUCAAUGUCAUGUAUGGUUUUUAGUUUUAUAGACAUCAUGAAAAAAUAACAAUAAUGAACAGAAAGCUUCUGUCCCACAAUAUUACACACGGUACAGUCGAAAUAGGAUUACAAAAGGACGCUGGGAGAAAGAAGGGAACCCUUCUUAUUCACUCAAACCCACUUGCAACAUACAAUUCAUUCAUAUAUUCCCACACUUUAAUUGGUGAUGGCACAUCCUUAUCCUUCCUUCAAAUUUAUAACUAAUACACCCCGUUAAUUACUUCUUCUGAUAGAGUUUAUGUAUACCAGUGUUCUCUAUCAGAACCUUUUUUUUAUAACACAACCAUUUAGUCCAUUCUUAUCUGGCUCCUGCUUCUCCUCCUCACAGCUCUAACACCAGAUCUGCAAACAAGAGUUUACAUGAUGUUCAUAUGCCUGUUUUAGUUCCAUCAAUUAUGUACUGUGGACAAUGCAGGAUAAUGAUAUGGAGAUUUCUAGUCUAAUUGUUUAGUUCUGUUCUUACUCAGUUCCAGACCUAAGCCUAGUCAGUAAUUAGAGACCAAGUAUAGCAUAUACAUACACUGUGCAUCUGUCUUGAUCCAGCAUUCCCGGCUCCCGUUGGAGUCGAAGUCGUCCAUACCAAACUCCACUGGAUUUGGUUGACUCCCUCGAACUCCAUUCCCAUUCCUCUCUCCUCCUUCAUUCAUGUUCUGCCCCUUCUUCUUGUUCUUUUUCUCCUUGUUCUUCUCGGAUUUGGUUCCUUUCUUCCCAGCUGGUGUUGCCUGUCCUGGUUCUAGAUUCUCCGGAUGAACUUUCCUGUAAAACAUUCGCUUGAUCUGCAAUCUAAAAUGUCAGAUAAUAUAGUAUACAUCAUAAGGUUACACAUUUAGAAUCAUGAUUUCUCAGAAAAUUGAGUUGAGGUUAGUGAAAAAAGUUGAGUUCAGGCUGGGAGGGAUUGUAGAAGGAUAGUUGAUUUAAUGGAUAUAAAUAAUUCCUAGGAAAAAUUUAGUUUCCCUUAGCAUGGAAAACAAAAUUCCACUUGGAAUCUUUUAUAUCGCUCCACUCAAUACAACUUUGGUAGAUAUCAUAAUUCUAGACGUCCGUUAACUAUGAUUCAGUAGUUGCUUUUGAGGAAAUUAUAUAGUGAACAAACCUUGUGCAGUUUGGUCUCAGCUGGAUUUCCAUAAUCAGAGGAAUCAUUGGAAUUCUUGGAACAAGCAUGGAGAAGUUUCUUCUUAAGCAUCUUCUUCAUCAGCUGGAUAUGGAGAAGCUUCUUCUCUCCUUCCUUCUCAUGAUUCCGCUUUUCGUCUUCUCUACCGAUCUCCCCCCAUUUCCCUCCACCACCAUUAUUCUCCUCAGCCAACUUAUUCCUCUGGAACAGCUCCCCAAGUGAAGUCCUAUUCCCCUCUUUCUUUACAGUAGUAGUAGUCGUCUCUGCCGGAAUCUCCACUGCAGACCCGAACAGAUACUCUUGCAGAGGGCAAACUGCAUUGCUUUCUCUCCCUUCAAACAAUGCCUUUCCACUCAGAGUAAUCGUGCUCCCUUGGCUGCUUCUCCCUCCACUCACGUGGCUGUUUCUUGCUGAAAUGUCAUUGUUCCAGCUGCUUUCCUGAGCUAUUAGUACCUUCUCAAGCUCAUCAUUGAUCAGUUUCAGCUCGUUCUCAGUUGCUUCAUGAUCCUCAGUCUCUUGCUCCGUGAUGUUCUCCAACCCAAUUGCAAACGUUGGUGUUGCUGGUGGAUUGGUGCCGGUUGGGUCGGAACCAAGCGUUCCAAUGGCUAGGAAUCCAUGGAAAAGCUCUGACAUUUCAUCUGCAUAGUACUCUUCAUCUCCUUCUCCUAAUUCAGCUUUCAUACCCAGUAGAUUCUCCCUGGAGAACUGCAUGUAUGUUCUGUUCCCAUAGUUUUUCUUUUGGAACGUCUCUUGCUCAUCGAUCGAUGGCUGCGCCGUAAGGCAAUUGUAGGCUUGCCCUGAAGGUUUUGCACAGGAAGAAAUAUCAAAUAUGUUCAUCCAAAGAGAAGAAAAGAAUAUCACCAGAAAGGUAAUAUCGCCAAAAAAUAUACAUAUAGAAAGGAUCUUAUAGUACCAACGCAGAAAUCCUUGAGAGGUUGUUCAUUGCUAUUCUGCCGCAACUUGCGGUGCAUCCAAUCAAGUAACUAAAAUGAAUGCAACAAAGGGAAUUAUAAGUUAAGAAAGUUGUGCAUCCAUUCUUUCAAAGGAAAUACAGUGAAGUUUGGGACUUUCACCUUCAUCUUUGUUUCUCCUGCCGAUCAGAAAACCUGAAACACUGUCCAAUGUCUAUAAAAUUGCAAAUUAUUAAUAACAAAGAAGAAGGCUGAAACUGUUGGUAGAACAUGAUGGAUGCAUAAACACAUCACUUUCCAAAAGGGAACUCUGAAGAAGGAUGUUGGAAGAGAAAAUACACAGAGAUGGUUACAAACGAUUUGGGUUUGGUCACUUUUGUUGUCAAGUUCAAAUCACAUGGCCAAAUGGUACUGUGGGGUCCUCAGAGAAGAGAGCAGAGAAGAAAAGAAAUGGAAAUCAUUGGAUAUAGAUCUUAUGUAAUCAAUCAUUCUGCAGUUGAUAUGGCUGUUUCACCUUAAUUUUUAAUUUCAUGUAUUUGAUUACUACAUUGUUUAUCUGUUUCUUAAUCAGCGGUAAUGGAACAUCUGGCCUUCCCUCAGGUUGCUGUCGUACGUAGUCUUGUUGUAUGAUUACGACUCUUAUCUGAUUGUUUGGACUCGCAAAAAGCAUGCUGCAAAAGAGAAACCGACCUGCGUGGCUCUGUAAGUUAGAAGCUCUGACCAGCGACUGUACUACCAGAAUCAUGCUUACUACUGGAUGUAAUUAUGUUGAACAGUAUAGUGUUACUCAAUUGGUAUCCUGAUGAGAUACCGAAAUCAGGAAGAGGAGGCUGCAGGUACAGAACAGACACUUACCUAUGUGAUAUCAUGCAACCUUAAAUUCACAACAUUGUAAAGCAAUGCCUGCAUGCAUGCAUAUGAUGAUCUUCUUAGUUAGGAGUUGCUUGGGUGAGAGUUUUGAUAUAUAUGUAUGUGUUUAUAAUAACUAGAGAUUUAAAAAUAAAAAUGAAACUGGU